GCAGAGGGGCGUCCUGUCGCCCCGCGCCGGGCGCGCGGGGAGGAAAGUCCGGGCAACUCAGAGCGGCAUACUGGCUAACGGCCAGCCGGCGGUGACGUCGGGGACAACGUGACAGAAAACAACCGCCUCCGCGGUCGGCGAGUCCGGCGCGGGAGGUAAGGGUGAAAAGGUGGAGUAAGAGCCCACCGGCUCCGGCGGUGACGUCGGAGGCCGCACGUCCUAUGUGUUGCAAGGCCAAAUAUACCGGCAGUUAAGGAUGGCUCGUCCAUUGCCGGGGGGUAGGCUGCGCGGAGCGGGGGCCCCAUCGUCCGCUCCGGAGCCGCAUGGAGACAUCGCGGCAAAGAUAAAUGACAGGACACUGCGAGGAGCCUUCGGGUUCCGGACGGUGACAUAACCCGGCUUACAGCCCCUCUGCGUUU
rnacentral:RNase_P_RNA from 1 species